GGUGAGGUGGAUGAGUGGCUGAAAUCAACGGUUUGCUAAACCGUCGUACGGGUCAAACCGUACCGGGGGUUCGAAUCCCCCCCUCACCG
rnacentral:tRNA from 2 species